UUCUGGCCGCACGCGCGCUACACUGACGGAGCCAGCGAGUACUCCCUUGGCCGGAAGGCCUGGGUAAUCUUGUUAAACUCCGUCGUGCUGGGGAUAGAGCAUUGCAAUUAUUGCUCUUCAACGAGGAAUCCCUAGUAAGCGCAAGUCAUCAGCUUGCGUUGAUUACGUCCCUGCCCUUUGUACACACCGCCCGUCGCUACUACCGAUUGAAUGGCUCAGUGAGGCGUCCGGACUGGCCCAGAGAGGUGGGCAACUACCACUCAGGGCCGGAAAGCUCUCCAAACUCGGUCAUUUAGAGGAAGUAAAAGUCGUAACAAGGUCUCCGUUGGUGAACCAGCGGAGGGAUCAUUACCGAGUUUACAACUCCCAAACCCAAUGUGAACGUUACCAAACUGUUGCCUCGGCGGGAUCUCUGCCCCGGGUGCGUCGCAGCCCCGGACCAAGGCGCCCGCCGGAGGACCAACCAAAACUCUUUUUGUAUACCCCCUCGCGGGUUUUUUUAUAAUCUGAGCCUUCUCGGCGCCUCUCGUAGGCGUUUCGAAAAUGAAUCAAAACUUUCAACAACGGAUCUCUUGGUUCUGGCAUCGAUGAAGAACGCAGCGAAAUGCGAUAAGUAAUGUGAAUUGCAGAAUUCAGUGAAUCAUCGAAUCUUUGAACGCACAUUGCGCCCGCCAGUAUUCUGGCGGGCAUGCCUGUCCAACGUCAUUUCAACCUCGAACCCCUCCGGGGGGUCGGCGUUGGGGAUCGGCCCUGCCUCUUGGCGGGGGCCGUCUCCCAAAAACAAUGGCGGUUUGGCGCAGCCUCUCCUGCGCAGUAAUUUGCACACUCCCAUCGGGAGGGCGGGGCGUCCCAGCCGUUAAACACCAACUUUUGAAAUGUUGACCUCGGAUCAGGGAGGAAAAACCCCCUGAACUUUAACCUUAUCAAUAAGCGGAGGGAAAAAAAAACCAAAGGGGAUUGCCCCC
rnacentral:rRNA from 1 species